AAUAAACGCUGGCGGCGUGCCUAACACAUGCAAGUCGAACGAGAAAGCCAUGACUUCGGUUGGGCGAGUAAAGUGGCGCACGGGUGAGUAACGCGUAGGCAACCUACCCUUGAAUUUGGGAUAACAGUGCGAAAGUGCUGCUAAUACCGGAUACGACCCUUUUGUGCUGGGCAAAAGGGUGAAAGUCGGCCACUGGAACAAGCCGACGUUCGGGGAUGGGCCUGCGUCCUAUCAGCUGGUUGGUAGGGUAACGGCCUACCAAGGCGACGACGGGUAGCUGGUCUGAGAGGAUGAUCAGCCACACUGGCACUGGAACACGGGCCAGACUCCUACGGGAGGCAGCAGUGAGGAAUUUUGCGCAAUGGCCGCAAGGCUGACGCAGCAACGCCGCGUGGGUGAAGAAGGCCUUCGGGUCGUAAAGCCCUGUCAGGUGGGAAGAACGACACGGGGAGGAAUAUGCUCUGUGAGUGACGGUACCACCAGAGGAAGCACCGGCUAAACUCCGUGCC
rnacentral:rRNA from 1 species